GACGAACGCUGGCGGCGUGCUUAACACAUGCAAGUCGAACGGAAAGGCCCUGCUUUUGUGGGGUGCUCGAGUGGCGAACGGGUGAGUAACACGUGAGUAACCUGCCCUUGACUUUGGGAUAACUUCAGGAAACUGGGGCUAAUACCGGAUAGGAGCUCCUGCUGCAUGGUGGGGGUUGGAAAGUUUCGGCGGGUGGGGAUGGACUCGCGGCUUAUCAGCUUGUUGGUGGGGUAGUGGCUUACCAAGGCUUUGACGGGUAGCCGGCCUGAGAGGGGGACCGGCCACAUUGGGACUGAGAUACGGCCCAGACGGCUACGGGAGGCAGCAGGGGGGAGUAUUGCACAAUGGGCGGAAGCCUGAUGCAGCAACGCCGCGUGCGGGAUGACGGCCUUCGGGGUAUAAACCGCUUUCGCCUGUGACGAAGCGUGAGUGACGGUAAUGGGUAAAGAAGCACCGGCUAACUACGUG
rnacentral:rRNA from 1 species